rnacentral:rRNA from 1 species
UACAGAGGUCUCAACCGUUGUUCGGAUUUAUUGGGCGUAAAGGGUGCGUAGGCGGUUAUGUAAGUCAGGUGUGAAAUCUCGGGGCUCAACCUCGAAACUGCACUUGAUACUGCAUGACUAGAGUACUGGAGAGGAGACUGGAAUUUACGGUGUAGCAGUGAAAUGCGUAGAUAUCGUAAGGAAGACCAGUGGCGAAAGCGAGUCUCUGGACAGUUACUGACGCUGAGGCACGAAGGCUAGGGGAGCAAACGGG